AGUGAACGCUGGCGGUAGGCCUAACACAUGCAAGUCGAACGGCAGCACAGUAAGAGCUUGCUCUUACGGGUGGCGAGUGGCGGACGGGUGAGGACUACAUCGGAAUCUACUUUUUCGUGGGGGCUAACGUAGGGAAACUUACGCUAAUACCGCAUACGACCUGCGGGUGAAAGCAGGGGAUCUUCGGACCUUGCGCGAUUGAAUGAGCCGAUGUCGGAUUAGCUAGUUGGCGGGGUAAAGGCCCACCAAGGCGACGAUCCGUAGCUGGUCUGAGAGGAUGAUCAGCCACACUGGAACUGAGACACGGUCCAGACUCCUACGGGAGGCAGCAGUGGGGAAUAUUGGACAAUGGGCGCAAGCCUGAUCCAGCCAUACCGCGUGGGUGAAGAAGGCCUUCGGGUUGUAAAGCCCUUUUGUUGGGAAAGAAAAGCAGCAGGUUAAUACCCCGCUGUUCUGACGGUACCCAAAGAAUAAGCACCGGCUAACUUCGUG
rnacentral:rRNA from 1 species